UCUGUGCUUUUCCAGGUCUCAGUUAUUUGGAAGUUUUUCUGGCAGACAUAAUCUAGCAACGUUGCAUGUGUGUGGCAUGCCAUGUCUCACAAAACUGUUAACUAAAGAGAAAAACACCUGACAGCAAUCCAGGAUUCCUGGUGGCUGUAUUAUCAUGAAACAUGAAAGACAACGGAAGGAAUUCUAUCAUCUAGAUCAACUGUCUGGAGCGCUCCCUGAGGCCCUGACCUGUUACAGCGGAAAUCAAUAGCCAGCAAAUUGUGCAUAGUCACAGGAGACGGAGCAGGGAAUUAGGACAAUGAAAAGAAGUUUCGACAUGGAGCAAAUGUAAAACAGGCUGAGUCACGGUGGAGAUUAGGCCGCCGCUGCUAUUGGAGUCAUCAUUGUUGCAAAUUAUCAUAUAAAAACAUCCAGAGUGAACAAUG